CUUACCGCAGGUCCAGGAAGUCCAGCCAUGCCACAAUCUCCUCUCAUCCCACAAACCCCCGCUGUCCUGGUGUUCCGGCAGGACCUGGUGGUCCAUCUGGAACUAUUAAAUUAAAGGAGAAUUUGAGGUUUGGGCAACAUGAUCACACGGGGAUUCGACAUGUUGCUUCCGAAAGAUCUUGAACCCUUCUACCGAAUUACUGAAAAAACGGCAUCCCCCGUCAGACAUUUCUGCACCAACUCAAACAUGAUCACCCUUUCUUUUGAUGCUUCUGACGCUACCUCCGAGACAUAGGUUCAGGUCCAAUGGAAACCAGGAAGUAAUCACUCAAAAAUAAAAAAUUUACUCCACUGACAGUUAGGUUUAGAUUUGGGGUUUGGUUUAGGGGGUAGGAUAAAUAUAAUAUUAAUUCUUGUUGACCUAAUUACAUCCUGUACAACUAAAAAUGCAACUUGCUUUUGGCGCCAUCUGUGGACAUUUCACCCAGAAAAUGAAGCUCAAAUGUGCCUGUAUGUUCAACAACACUUCCAGCUUUUGCCACUGGGGGCAGUGGUUUAAAUUUUGGUAAGCACAGACUGAUUUUAGCCACAGAACUUUCGACAAGCUGUUGCCGAAUUUACAGUGCAAUCAGUCUGGUUUGAAGAUACAAGUUGUUUACAUAAUUAUUUGUAGUAUUAAACCACUUCAGUUUAUUUUAAAAUCACAAUUCUGUUUUAGAUAUGAAAAGCACAGUAUGAACACAAUUGUCAUACAUGGCUUAUGAUCUUGUAAGAACUUGUUACUGGAAAUUUAUUUGAUAUUGAGUGUAAGGAACAACUCACUAGCAAUCCGUCCUCUCCAGGUUCCCUUUUGUCUGCAGGGCUACCAACAGGUCCAGGGUUUCCACACUCACCCUGAUGCUCAGGCCCUCCAGGAUCUCCCUGAAUUCCAGCAGAGCUUGCUGUGCCAACACCUCCUGGGGAUCCUGGGAAACCACUGGGGCCCUUUAAGCAAGAGGAAGAAACCAAAGAGGAUUCCACACAAGCAAGAAAGAAAGGAAGUCAGAGGAUUUUGCACAAGUAACUAAGCACUUCCAAGAUUAUCAAUAGCGGUUAUGAUACAACAAUUGUGUAUGUGAUUUACGGCAGCAGUUCCUCUGCCACCUUCAAGGCCAGUAAUUCCAGCCAAUCCCUUAAAAAAGUGCUACGUUUAUACAUGUUUCAAAAGGGUUCCUCAAAAUCAAUGGGAUCAAUGAAUCAAUGAAGUCUGUAUAUGUAUUAAAUAAAGUAUAUGUCUUUACCUAAAGUCUAUUUAUAACAUCUAUUUAUAUAUGUACAUAGAUACAGUAUAUAUACUGGUAUAUAAAUCUACUUCUCUUUAUCCAUGUCCUUACUCACCUGAGGACCAGGUUUCCCCCGCCAUUCCUUGAGGCCCUGAAGACCCUGCCUCUCCCUUUGCUCCUUCCUCUCCAGGUUCACCUUUAAUUCCGGACUGACCAUCAGGACCCCAUCACAAAGAUGACAAUAUUUACAACAUGGACCAGAUUAUUAAAAAUGCGGGCGGACGGACGGACUUACUUACAGGAGGUCCAGCAAACCCAAUGGGACCAGUAGGACCUGGCUCACCAGGCCCUGCUGGUCCAGAGAUCCCUUUCUCCUGGCAUACCCUGUAGCCUGGGCAGUCCAGGUUCUCCUCCAGUUCCAGCUGGACCUGGUUUGCCCUGCACAGCCAAGAACAUUUACCCAAAUUAUUGUGGCCAUAAGUAGGCUUAUACAUCAUCUCUGUGUAUGCUAAUGACAUGUUGAACACAGUGCACAAAAUUCAAACAAAAAAGAAAAAUUGUUGUGAGAUCCACGCACAACUUACCACGUGCCCCAUUGAGAGCGAGAACCACUAAUUGCGACCACAAGGAGGUUACCCCAUGUGACUCUACCCUCCCUAGCAACUGGGCCAAUUUGAUUGCUUAGGAGACCUGGCUGGAGUCUCGUGACUCCAGGGGUGGUAGUCAGUGUCAUUAUGUAGGUUUAAAGAUCUUGUUAAAUGUCUGUAUGUCUUUAAUAUCACAAGAUUAUGUUAGGUGAAAGGUGCUUAUUUAAUACUCGCUAUGUGUUGUGUUAUAUGUGGGGGAGGGAGAAUGAAUUGUACACAGUCGGGAUAUAAAUUGGAUCAUAGAUGUAUGAUACAUGUGAUGUUUUUAAAUUUUUUGUAACACAAGGGUCUAAGAAGAAUUUCCCAGCGAUGGGACAAAUAAAGUAGAA